rnacentral:lncRNA from 14 species
AAAACCCGAAAAAUGCAAAUUUACAGAUUAAAUUAUGAAUCUUUCCAGCCUGCAUCUGCCACUUCAGGACUCGUCCUUUUCAAUGCAAAGCACUCAGGUUUGCUCCUUCUGCCAAUUAAUCCUUUAUAAUCGUUAAAUUACUCCAGAUUGAUACCAACGUAACUGCUUGGGACCUGCACAACCGCUUUCGGCGCACAGCUCAGCCCGAGACCCACAGGAUAAGACCCCAAUGUGUGAUCUUCCCACUGUGAGAUGGUCCAAGUGCUAUGGUGGCAAAGCCCAGUACAACCGCUCCACGUCCUGCCUGUUAAGCGAGGGGACCUGACAGCCCCAGAGCCUCCCAUUCCCUGCUUAGCCAAAGCCCUGAUGGAUCUCAG